GGCCAGACAAUUCUGUGUCAAAGCACUGCUCUCAUACAGCAAUCUCUCUCAACAGUGUGGGCUUUGGUGGUGUGGCCAGCACCAAGGGACAUGAACUGGCUAUCACCCUUCAGGGACACUGAUGCUCCUACAUGAUGGUGAAGAACAACUUUACAUGGAUUUGGUCUCAUGGCUCCAAGCAGUGCCCAAGCACUAUCACCCAGGUGAAUGGAUACGUCCAACCGAAUGCUUUGACAUUCAAGCUAGAAUCCCUCUGGCAGAGAAGCAGAAAAUCAAGGUGAAAUCACUCAAGGGAAAACACGGAGAUCCCCCCUAUCUCCUCCCCAAUCAAAAUCAGC